CACAUAGUUGGUGAGGUAAUGGCUCACCAAGGCGACGAUCCGUAACUGGUCUGAGAGGAUGAUCAGUCACACUGGAACUGAGACACGGUCCAGACUCCUACGGGAGGCAGCAGUGGGGAAUAUUGGACAAUGGGCGAAAGCCUGAUCCAGCCAUGCCGCGUGUGUGAAGAAGGUCUUCGGAUUGUAAAGCACUUUAAGUUGGGAGGAAGGGUUGUAGAUUAAUACUCUGCAAUUUUGACGUUACCGACAGAAUAAGCACCGGCUAACUCUGUGCCAGCAGCCGCGGUAAUACAGAGGGUGCAAGCGUUAAUCGGAAUUACUGGGCGUAAAGCGCGCGUAGGUGGUUCGUUAAGUUGGAUGUGAAAUCCCCGGGCUCAACCUGG
rnacentral:rRNA from 1 species